GCAGUCGAACGCGAACGAGUUUCUUCGGAACUUUAGCUAGAGUGGCGCACGGGUGAGUAACGCGUAAGUAAUCUACCCUCGCAUCAGGGAUAACCCACCGAAAGGUGUGCUAAUACCGGAUACGUCUAUGUUAAUAUCUUUUUUAUAGAGAAAGGUGGCCUCUGAUUCAAGCUACUGUGCGGGGAGGAGCUUGCGUACCAUUAGCUAGUUGGUAGGGUAACGGCCUACCAAGGCGACGAUGGUUAGCGGGUCUGAGAGGAUGAUCCGCCACACUGGAACUGAAACACGGACCAGACUCCUACGGGAGGCAGCAGUGAGGAAUAUUGCGCAAUGGGGGCAACCCUGACGCAGCGACGCCGCGUGGAUGAUGAAGGCCUUCGGGUUGUAAAAUCCUGUCAGAUGGGAAGAAGUGCUAUAUGGUUAAUACCUGUAUAGUUUGACGGUACCAUCAAAGGAAGCACCGGCUAACUCCGUGCCAGCAGCCGCGGUAAUACGGAGGGUGCAAGCGUUGUUCGGAAUUACUGGGCGUAAAGCGCGCGUAGGCGGCUAUGUAAGUCAGAUGUGAAAGCCCGCGGCUCAACCGUGGAAGUGCAUUUGAAACUGUAUAGCUUGAGUACUGGAGGGGGUAGUGGAAUUCCCGGUGUAGAGGUGAAAUUCGUAGAUAUCGGG
rnacentral:rRNA from 1 species